rnacentral:rRNA from 1 species
UCUUGGUCAAUUUAGAGGAAGUAAAAGUCGUAACAAGGUUUCCGUAGGUGAACCUGCGGAAGGAUCAUUAAUGAGUCUUUGAAGUGGGUUUGAUGCUGGUCUUUCGAGGCAUGUGCUCGCCCUGUUCUCAUCCACUCACACCUGUGCACCUUACGUUUAAGAAGUGGUUGUUGCCUCCCUUCGGGUUGGCAGGUUAGGGAAACCUAGCUAUGGCCCUUCUUUGCGUUACUUUACACAAACUCUUGAAUGUCAUAGAAUGUAUAUUGGCCUACGGGCUUUAAUUUAAAUACAACUUUCAACAACGGAUCUCUUGGCUCUCGCAUCGAUGAAGAACGCAGCGAAAUGCGAUAAGUAAUGUGAAUUGCAGAAUUCAGUGAAUCAUCGAAUCUUUGAACGCACCUUGCGCUCCUUGGUAUUCCGAGGAGCAUGCCUGUUUGAGUGUCGUGAACAUAUCAACCCCGACGGGAUUUUAAUCUCGACGGUGGCUUGGACUUGGGAGCCUGCUGGCCGUUGUACUUCGGUCGGCUCUCCUUGAAUGCAUUAGCUUGGACUUGUUUCAUGGGCUGCAUAGCGUGAUAACUAUCUACGCUUUGUACUGUCUGUGGGAUACUCAUGAGUCUGGCUUCUAAUCGUCCUCUGGACAAUUACUUUACGUUUUGACCUCAAAUCAGGUAGGACUACCCGCUGAACUUAAGCAUAUCAAUAA